ACUAUUUUGGCAGAAAAGUGUAAUGAAUUUAGAAUUCAUGAAUGUAAGGAUGAUUUACAAAUAGUA
rnacentral:tRNA from 1 species